UUAGAGCGUUGGACUAGUAACCAGCAGGUAGCCUAGUGGUUAGAGCGUUGGACUAGUAACCAGCAGGUAGCCUAGUGGUUAGAGCGUUGGACUAGUAACCAGCAGGUAGCCUAGUGGUUAGAGCGUUGGACUAGUAACCAGCAGGUAGCCUAGUGGUUAGAGCGUUGGACUAGUAACCAGCAGGUAGCCUAGUGGUUAGAGCGUUGGACUAGUAACCAGCAGGUAGCCUAGUGGUUAGAGCGUUGGACUAGUAACCAGCAGGUAGCCUAGUGGUUAGAGCGUUGGACUAGUAACCAGCAGGUAGCCUAGUGGUUAGAGCGUUGGACUAGUAACCAGCAGGUAGCCUAGUGGUUAGAGCGUUGGACUAGUAACCAGCAGGUAGCCUAGUGGUUAGAGCGUUGGACUAGUAACCAGCAGGUAGCCUAGUGGUUAGAGCGUUGGACUAGUAACCAGCAGGUAGCCUAGUGGUUAGAGCGUUGGACUAGUAACCAGCAGGUAGCCUAGUGGUUAGAGCAGGUAGCCUGGUGGUUAGAGCGUUGGACUAGUAACCAGCUGGUAGCCUAGUGGUUAGAGCAUUGGACAAGUAACCAGCAGGUAGCCUAGUGGUUAGAGCGUUGGACUAGUAACCAGCAGGUAGCCUAGUGGUUAGAGUUUUGGACUAGUAACCAGCAGGUAGCCUAGUGGUUAGAGCGUUGGACUAGUAACCAGCAGGUAGCCUAGUGGUUAGAGCAUUGGGCCAGUAACCAGCAGGUAGCCUAGUGGUUAGAGCGUUGGCCUAGUAACCAGCAGGUAGCCUAGUGGUUAGAGCGUUGGACUAGUAACCAGCAGGUAGCCUAGUG